rnacentral:lncRNA from 1 species
UCAUGUCGGCAGAGCAACAAAGGCAAACUUUGGCAACAACUUGAUUGUCUAACUGAAAUGAGCUGAGCUUUGGAAAAGUGGAAAAGAAAUAUGCCUUUUUUUCGCUGUAUUUCAGAAUGCUGAAAGAAUGAAAUGGACGCAUGUCAGCCCAAAGACAUAAAGCGAAAGAAACCACUUCAUGUCCAGAAGCAUGUCCUAGAAGACAACUGCUAAAGACAAGGGAGUAGUAAAGAAAAGAAAAAAAAAAAAAAGAAGAAGGAAAAAAAAGUCUUCAAAGCAAAUGAAAAGAAACAGACAGUUCUUCAAAACAAGAGAGGAAAUUGGAAAAAGAACAUUUGUGGAAGAAAAAAAGCAUGUGGAAUUUCUCUAAACAGAAGAUGGAAUGAUCUAUUUUACCUGAAGAGAGUGGAAGGAUCAAGGAAAGGACAAGAACUAAUGCUCUAAUUUAGAGGACUCAAGUGCCAUUUUUGCCCAUUCUUCGUCAGAGAUUGCACUAUUCAGGUACUUUGCUUUUUUUAGAUGAAUGCCCUAAUUUCUUCCUGUUAUACAGUGGAGAAAUCUUAGUUCUAUAUUAAAAAGGUCUCAUCACCAGCCUCAGACACCUUGGAAUAUGGAAUACAAAGAAACUGCCAUUGAAUGAAUAAAAAGGUUUCCCACUUUAGGGAAGAAAGCCCAUAAAAUAGAAGGUCAAAAUUAGCUUUUUUUGAAUAGAUAAUCAAGGAGAGCCUCCAAAGGUAACCCAAGUCAUAUCUGUGUUCCAAAGAUGGUUGAACUUGAAAUCACAAUUUACUAAGUUUUGCAAAUAAUGACAGGAAGGAGUAUUUGAGAAACAAAAGGUAUUGAUAAAUAAAUGUAGUCAAUGUUUAAGUUAACCUUUGUAAACAGAUAAGCAAAACAGUUCAGAAGUUUACAAGUCAUAUUUUAAAUUAUUAAAACCUAUUUUCUUUGUACUGAAC